GGUUUAUAAUUUAGGGUUUGGAGUUUAGGAUUUAGGGUAUAGGAUUUAAUAUUUUGCUAACGGUUUAACAAUAUUUUUUUUUUCUUUUGUAACUAUUUUUAUGUAUUUUUAUUGUUUUAUUUUAAAAAUAUAAUCUUAUUUAGAAAUUCAAUUUUGUUUCCUUUUUUAAAAGAUAUCAAAUAUCAAUUACUCAAACACCAUUGGUUGGUGAAUCUAGAGGUUCACCCUAAGGGGUGAAGCCAAGAAUUUCUCAGGAAUGAAUAUUAUAUUAUGAAAUUUAU
rnacentral:lncRNA from 1 species